GAACGCUGGCGGCGUGCCUAAUACAUGCAAGUUGAGCGCUGAAGGUUGGUACUUGUACCGACUGGAUGAGCAGCGAACGGGUGAGUAACGCGUGGGGAAUCUGCCUUUGAGCGGGGGACAACAUUUGGAAACGAAUGCUAAUACCGCAUAAAAACUUUAAACACAAGUUUUAAGUUUGAAAGAUGCAAUUGCAUCACUCAAAGAUGAUCCCGCGUUGUAUUAGCUAGUUGGUGAGGUAAAGGCUCACCAAGGCGAUGAUACAUAGCCGACCUGAGAGGGUGAUCGGCCACAUUGGGACUGAGACACGGCCCAAACUCCUACGGGAGGCAGCAGUAGGGAAUCUUCGGCAAUGGACGAAAGUCUGACCGAGCAACGCCGCGUGAGUGAAGAAGGUUUUCGGAUCGUAAAACUCUGUUGGUAGAGAAGAACGUUGGUGAGAGUGGAAAGCUCAUCAAGUGACGGUAACUACCCAGAAAGGGACGGCUAACUACGUGCCAGCAGCCGCGGUAAUACGUAGGUCCCGAGCGUUGUCCGGAUUUAUUGGGCGUAAAGCGAGCGCAGGUGGUUUAUUAAGUCUGGUGUAAAAGGCAGUGGCUCAACCAUUGUAUGCAUUGGAAACUGGUAGACUUGAGUGCAGGAGA
rnacentral:rRNA from 1 species